rnacentral:rRNA from 1 species
AGAACGAACGCUGGCGGCAUGCCUAAUACAUGCAAGUCGAACGAAGGCUUCGGCCUUAGUGGCGCACGGGUGCGUAACGCGUGGGAAUCUGCCCCUUGGUUCGGAAUAACAGUUGGAAACGACUGCUAAUACCGGAUGAUGACGAAAGUCCAAAGAUUUAUCGCCAAGGGAUGAGCCCGCGUAGGAUUAGCUAGUUGGUGAGGUAAAGGCUCACCAAGGCGACGAUCCUUAGCUGGUCUGAGAGGAUGAUCAGCCACACGUGGGACUGAGACACGGCCCAGACUCCGUACGGGAGGCAGCAGUAGGGAAUA